rnacentral:misc_RNA from 1 species
GUAGGUGAACCUGCGGAAGGAUCAUUAACACGUAUCCACGUUAAUAUCAAAGACCAAGAACUGUGCUCCCUGGUGCCGACCUCUUUGCUGUCGAUUUGGGUUCUAAUGGAGUUAUAGCGGGCGAUUUGCGCGAUAGCCUUCUAUAGCAUACUUGGAUCGACUAUCACUCCUCGAGAGUGUGGCAAGGUGACUGGUUUCCGGGCUUAUCCAUCAUUCAACUCUUCGACCCUUUUGAAGAGCGGUUUGGUAC